CACUUUCAUAAAAAAAUUUUUAUUUCACACUUUUAUACAAAUAUCCACAGGUGUCUUCUAAUCAUGAAAUAAUUUUACAAUGCUAGUUAGUAUACAAAUGUAUCAAAUGCAAACAGACCAGUGACUUGACUUGAGAUGACAUUUUUAACAACUAUAAACACCACUACAUUCGUGUUUCUUUUUGUUGGUGAACCACCCUUGCACCCCGCCCCCCUUUUUAGGACAUUCAUUUUUAUAACAAAGGUCUAUAAACACUUUCAAAAUAUCAGCUUCUCAGCAACCUAUAAGCCAGCGCACUGGGUUCCAAGUUAUCUGAGCAAGAAACUGAGAUUUUAAACAUUGUUAUGACCUAUUUUAGAGAAAUUUCUGUAAACAAAAUAUCAUCUGUAAAACUACUUUUGUUUUGAAAAUUCCAAAGCACAACUAAUAUCUUAAGGGCAUAAGAUUUCUGGAAAAAAACAAAAGCAAAAGCAUCAAUGUCACAUAUAGCUGUAUUUUGUUCUUUUAAAAGAUUUUGAGAUGCUACUUAUACUACAGCCAAACAAAUUAGCACCUGUUUGUUGCUGUACCCCCGUAACUUAACAUUUUGAAGUACAGUAAUUUUUUAAAAUUUAGCUUUCCAGCUAUUCAAUCUCUAUUGAAUGUAUAUAAUAACUUCCUCCUCCC
rnacentral:lncRNA from 1 species